rnacentral:rRNA from 1 species
GUAGGGUGCGAGCGUUGCCCGGAUUUAUUGGGCGUAAAGGGCGCGUAGGCGGCCACGCACGUCCGUUGUGAAAUCGCCCGGCUCAACUGGGCGGGGUCAGCGGAUACGGUGUGGCUAGAGCAAGCUAGGGGGCAAUGGAAUUCCCGGUGUAGUGGUGGAGUGCGUAGAUAUCGGGAGGAACACCAGUGGCGAAGGCGGUUGCCUGGGGCUUUGCUGACGCUGAUGCGCGAAAGCGUGGGGAGCGAUCCGGAUUAGAUACCCGGGUAGUCCACGCUGUAAACGAUGCGGACUAGGUGUCGGGGGUAUCGACCCCCUCGGCGCCGCAGCUGACGCAUUAAGUCCGCCGCCUGGGGACUACGGCCGCAAGGCUA